rnacentral:rRNA from 1 species
AAGUUUGGACAAUGGGGGAAACCCUGAUCCAGCCAUCCCGCGUGUAUGAUGAAGGCCGUCGGGUUGUAAAGUACCUUUGGCAGAGAGGAAAAGGUAUCCCCUAUUACUGGAUACUGCUGGCGGUAGCUGCAGAAUAAGCACCGGCUGCCUACCUGCCUGCAGCCACGGUAAAACGUAGGGUGCCAGCGUUAAACGGAAUUACUUGGCGUAAAGCGUGUGUAGGCGGUUCGGAAAGAAAGAUAUGAAAUCCCAGGGCUCAAACUUGGAACAGCAUUUUUAACUGCCGAGCUAGAGUAUGUCAGAGGGGGGUAGAAUUCCACGUGUAGCAGUGAAAUGCGUAGAUAUGUGGAGGAAUACCGAUGGCGAAGGCAGCCCCCUGGGAUAAUACUGACGCUCAGACACGAAAGCGUAGGGAGCAAAAAGG